CCUACGGGCGGCUGCAGUGGGGAAUAUUGCACAAUGGGCGCAAGCCUGAUGCAGCCAUGCCGCGUGUGUGAAGAAGGCCUUCGGGUUGUAAAGCACUUUCAGCGGGGAGGAAGGCGGUGAGGUUAAUAACCUCAUCGAUUGACGUUACCCGCAGAAGAAGCACCGGCUAACUCCGUGCCAGCAGCCGCGGUAAUACGGAGGGUGCAAGCGUUAAUCGGAAUUACUGGGCGUAAAGCGCACGCAGGUGGUCUGUCAAGUCGGAUGUGAAAUCCCCGGGCUCAACCUGGGAACUGCAUUCGAAACUGGCAGGCUAGAGUCUUGUAGAGGGGGGUAGAAUUCCAGGUGUAGCGGUGAAAUGCGUAGAGAUCUGGAGGAAUACCGGUGGCGAAGGCGGCCCCCUGGACAAGGACUGACGCUCAGGUGCGAAAGCGUGGGGAGCAAACAGGAUUAGAUACCCCAGUAGUC
rnacentral:rRNA from 1 species